UAGGGAAUCUUCCACAAUGGACGCAAGUCUGAUGGAGCAACGCCGCGUGAGUGAAGAAGGUUUUCGGACCGUAAAGCUCUGUUGUUGGUGAAGAAGGAUAGAGGUAGUAACUGGCCUUUAUUUGACGGUAAUCAACCAGAAAGUCACGGCUAACUACGUGCCAGCAGCCGCGGUAAUACGUAGGUGGCAAGCGUUGUCCGGAUUUAUUGGGCGUAAAGCGAGCGCAGGCGGAAGAAUAAGUCUGAUGUGAAAGCCCUCGGCUUAACCGAGGAAUUGCAUCGGAAACUGUUUUCUUGAGUGCAGAAGAGGAGAGUAGAACUCCAUGUGUAGCGGUGGAAUGCGUAGAUAUAUGGAAGAAUACCAGUGGCGAAGGCGGCUCUCUGGUCUGCAACUGACGCUGAGGCUCGAAAGCAUGGGUAGCGAACAGGAUUAGAUACCCUGGUAGUCCAUGCCGUAAACGAUGAGUGCUAAGUGUUGGGAGGCUUCCGCCUCUAGUGCUGCAGCUAACGCAUUAAGCACUCCGCCUGGGGGAGUA
rnacentral:rRNA from 1 species